CCUACGGGCGGCUGCAGUGAGGAAUCUUGCACAAUGGGCGCAAGCCUGAUGCAGCGACGCCGCGUGAAUGAUGAAGGCCUUCGGGUUGUAAAGUUCAGUAAGCAGGGAAGAAUAAGCAAGGGGUAAUAUUUCUUGUGAUGACGGUACCUGCCUAAAGCCCCGGCUAACUACGUGCCAGCAGCCGCGGUAAUACGUAUGGGGCGAGCGUUGUUCGGAAUUAUUGGGCGUAAAGGGCGUCUAGGCGGGGAUUUAAGUUAGGUGUGAAAGCUAUGGGCUCAACCCAUAAACUGCAUCUAAAACUGAAUCUCUUGAGUUCGGGAGAGGAGAGCGGAAUUCCAGGUGUAGCGGUGAAAUGCGUAGAUAUCUGGAAGAACACCAGUGGCGAAGGCGGCUCUCUGGCCUAGAACUGACGCUGAAGCGCGAAAGCGUGGGGAGCGAACAGGCUUAGAUACCCCUGUAGUC
rnacentral:rRNA from 1 species